AACGAGAAGAACCUUACCAAAUCUUGACAUCCUUUGAAAACUCUAGAGAUAGAGCCUUCCCCUUCGGGGGACAAAGUGACAGGUGGUGCAUGGUUGUCGUCAGCUCGUGUCGUGAGAUGUUGGGUUAAGUCCCGCAACGAGCGCAACCCUUAAGCUUAGUUGCCAUCAUUAAGUUGGGCACUCUAGGUUGACUGCCGGUGACAAACCGGAGGAAGGUGGGGAUGACGUCAAAUCAUCAUGCCCCUUAUGAUUUGGGCUACACACGUGCUACAAUGGACAAUACAAAGGGCAGCUAAACCGCGAGGUCAUGCAAAUCCCAUAAAGUUGUUCUCAGUUCGGAUUGUAGUCUGCAACUCGACUACAUGAAGCUGGAAUCGCUAGUAAUCGUAGAUCAGCAUGCUACGGU
rnacentral:rRNA from 1 species